CCGGGCUGCGGGGAGGCCUCCUGCCUCCCACCGGGCUUAGGCUAAUUACGAGGCAGGAGCGGACAACCAGAGGACCCGAGGGUCUCAGGCAGUGACGGAACCCAUCAGAUGUGCCGUUUACAGAUGCUGCCCACACCCGGCUGCCGCUGCCCACCGUGGGCCGCACUCUUGGAGACGCUGGCUUCCUGCAGAGGAUGGACCAUCUGCGCAGCCCCAAAGGGUUUACCUGAGUCUUUGAAGUUGGGUUCCUGGGCAUUUCCUUGAG